GCUCUCCCUCCUGCAGGAACAUCUCUGCGUCUUUCAGUCGGCUUCACGUUAUCUUGUUGCUCCUGGCUACCUUUUGGCUUUCAGCCACUGUUGUCUCUGUUCAGGACUGCUCCGCUGCCGCUUUCAGUGUCUUCUGCUGCUGCUGACAAUGUGUGGAGGAAUUGAUUUGCUCACUGUAAGCAAAAUAGCUGCUCUUGGUCGAAGGACUGGUCUGUGUAGAACAGCAGAUUUCUUGCCAUGUUUCUCCUUCCAGCUCUUCCUCAAAACUCUUCCUGUGCCAUCCACUGACACCUUUCUAGCCCCCAAUCAUCUGCUCGAAUCUCUAAAACACGUGACUCAUGUUCCAUUUUUAUAUUCAUCUUCACAUGACUCCUGAAUCUUUCUGUGUGCAUUUUUGUUUGUUUUCUCACUGGGUUGUAAAUGAGCUGUUGUCACAUCUGGUUUCUUGGGUAGGACUUUGGCCUUUCAGUUACACACCGAGUAAUUCUUCCCUCCUUUUCUGGUUCAUAAUCCUUACCUAAAGGAAGGGGCUGAAUGUGAAAGCCUUAAUUUACUUAGUGAAACAGUUGUCUACAAAAGAAGUUGCUUCAAACACCAAUUGCAAAA